rnacentral:rRNA from 1 species
GGAAGGAUCAUUACUAGAGCAAAGGACAGGCAGCGCCCCACAGAAGCUUGCUUCGUGGCGGGCUACCCUACUUCGGUAGGGUCUAGAGCCGUCGAACCUCUCGGAGAAGUUCGGUCCUGAACUCCACCCUUGAAUAAAUUACCUUUGUUGCUUUGGCGGGCCGCCUCGCGCCAGCGGCUUCGGCUGUUGAGUGCCCGCCAGAGGACCACAACUCUUGUUUUUAGUGAUGUCUGAGUACUAUAUAAUAGUUAAAACUUUCAACAACGGAUCUCUUGGUUCUGGCAUCGAUGAAGAACGCAGCGAAAUGCGAUAAGUAAUGUGAAUUGCAGAAUUCAGUGAAUCAUCGAAUCUUUGAACGCACAUUGCGCCCUCUGGUAUUCCGGGGGGCAUGCCUGUUCGAGCGUCAUUAUAACCACUCAAGCUCUCGCUUGGUAUUGGGGUUCGCGGUUCCGCGGCCCCUAAAAUCAGUGGCGGUGCCUGUCGGCUCUACGCGUAGUAAUACUCCUCGCGAUUGAGUCCGGCAGGUCUACUUGCCAGCAACCCCCAAUUUUUACAGGUUGACCUCGGAUCAGGUAGGGAUACCCGCUGAACUUAAGCAUAUCAAUAAGCGGAGGAAAAGAAACCAACAGGGGAUUACCUCAGUAACGGCGAGUGAAGCGGGUAACAGCUCAAAUUUGAAAGCUAG